UUGACCUCGGAUCAGGCAGGGAUACCCGCUGAACUUAAGCAUAUCAAUAAGCGGAGGAAAAGAAACCAACAGGGAUUGCCUCAGUAACGGCGAGUGAAGCGGCAACAGCUCAAAUUUGAAAUCUGGCUCUUUUAGGGUCCGAGUUGUAAUUUGUAGAGGAUGCUUCGGCGUCGGCUCCGGUCUAAGUUCCUUGGAACAGGACGUCAUAGAGGGUGAGAAUCCCGUAUGUGAUCGGUUGCCUUGCCAUGUGAAGCUCCUUCGACGAGUCGAG
rnacentral:rRNA from 1 species